UGGGGAAUAUUGCGCAAUGGGGGAAACCCUGACGCAGCAACGCCGCGUGAAGGAUGAAGGUUUUCGGAUUGUAAACUUCUUUGAUGAGGGACGAACACAAUGACGGUACCUCAAAAACAAGCCACGGCUAACUACGUGCCAGCAGCCGCGGUAAUACGUAGGGAGCAAGCGUUGUCCGGAUUUACUGGGUGUAAAGGGUGCGUAGGCGGCUUUUUAAGUCAGAUGUGAAAUCUAUGGGCUCAACCCAUAAACUGCAUUUGAAACUAGAGAGCUUGAGUGAAGUAGAGGCAGGCGGAAUUCCCUGUGUAGCGGUGAAAUGCGUAGAGAUAGGGAGGAACACCAGUGGCGAAGGCGGCCUGCUGGGCUUUAACUGACGCUGAGGCACGAAAGCGUGGGUAGCAAACAGG
rnacentral:rRNA from 2 species